rnacentral:rRNA from 1 species
ACUGACGCUCAUGCACGAAAGCGUGGUAGCAACAGGAUUAGAUACCUGGUAGUCACGCCCUAAACGAUGUCAACUAGGUGUUGGGUCGGUCAAACAAUUUAGUACCGGAGCUAACGCGUGAAGUUGACCGCCUGGGGAGUACGGCCGCAAGGUUAAAACUCAAAGGAAUUGACGGGGACCCGCACAAGCGGUGGAUGAUGUGGAUUAAUUCGAUGCAACGCGAAAAACCUUACCUACCCUUGACAUGUUCAGAAUCCCGGAGAGAUUUGGGAGUGCUCGAAAGAGAACUGGAACACAGGUGCUGCAUGGCUGUCGUCAGCUCGUGUCGUGAGAUGUUGGGUUAAGUCCCGCAACGAGCGCAACCCU